AUUAAAAUUAAUUCAGGGAUCGAGAGUCGAGAGUCGAACACUGAAAAUGACCAGCAAUUCAGAGUAAAAGAAAAAAAAAAAAAAGACAUUCUCGAAGAGUGAAAAUUCGCAGAAAUCGAGAAUCGAGAGUAGAAAAAAGAGUAUCGUGGAGUAUCGGUACGGAGGAAGUACGCAAGUGAAAUGAACUCUGAUGCCGAUACGGGGGUGGCGCGUCUUGUCGAAACCGGGGCGAGGUGAUUAAUCGGCACUGUGGAUACGUUGACGAGUGUCGAUGCAGCCGGACUGCACGGUUCGUCGACGCGAUUCUCGUCAGCUUCGUCCUUCUUUCGAGCCGGUCAACGGCCUGACCCAGGCCGAGGGUCGAACGGAACCACAGUGAGGCAAGAAUCCACGGAAUCGCGCGCGAGCAUCGAUCACGAACGAGCAUCGAUCUCCCCCUACGAUCCUCUUCACGCCGAAUCAAUGACGAUAAACGAGAAACGUCCACGAGGAAAAUUCUGUUCGCUGCGCAUCGAGAAAAGGAGGACCUGAGCCUCUGAGGGGUUCCGAGAGGAGAAUCCGAGCCGAACUGCCAACGACAGAAGCGAGCCGCAGCCCAGCAGUUGACCCAGAUGCGCACGCGACACGAAUUCCCCAGGGGGGA